CGAACAGUUUGCAAGAUUUCGAAAAAGCACUCGCUUAGGGUGUAAACACGGUGUCUGUGCAAUCUUUUGGCCGACCUUUUGAAGUGCCGAACAUAAAGACGAAAAGACGAUGACGGAUCGGUUUUGCGUCAUUUUCGGAUAUCCGUUCU
ensembl:ncRNA C34B4.15 ncRNA